rnacentral:rRNA from 1 species
GAUGAACGCUGGCGGCGUGCCUAAUACAUGCAAGUCGAGCGAAAAGACGAGGAUCUUGCUCCUCUGACGUUAGCGGCGGACGGGUGAGUAACACGUGGAUAACCUACCUAUAAGACUGGGAUAACUUCGGGAAAGCGGAGCUAAUACCGGAUAAUAUAUUGAACCGCAUGGUUCAAUAGUGAAAGACGGUUUUGCUGUCACUUAUAGAUGGAUCCGCGCCGGAUUAGCUAGUUGGUAAGGUAACGGCUUACCAAGGCGACGAUGCGUAGCCGACCUGAGAGGGGGAUCGGCCACACUGGAACUGAGACACGGUCCAGACUCCUACGGGAGGCAGCAGUAGGGAAUCUUACGCAAUGGGCGAAAGCCUGACGGAGCAACGCCGCGUGAGUGAUGAAGGUCUUCGGAUCGUAAAGCUCUGUUAUUAGGGAAGAACAAAUGUGGAAGUAAAUAUGCACGUCUUGACGGUACCUAAUCAAAAAGCAACGGCUAACUACGUG